UCAAGUGACAGUGAAGUGGUUUAAGUGGAAUUAAAAUACCAGUAAAUGUGUCAGUAAAAAUUUCAGUUGAGGGGCCAGCAUUUUGGUGCGAUAGGUUAGGCUGCCACCUGCAAAGCCUGCAUUCCAUUUGAAGCCCAGUUCGAGUCAUGGCUGCUCUUCUUCCAGUCCAGCUCCCUGCUAAUGUGCCUUAGAAAACAGCAAAAGACAGCCCAAGUCCUUGGGUCCUGCCUGCUCCCCAUGUGGGAAACUUGGAUGGAGUUCCAGGCUCUUAGCUUUGGUCUGGCCCAACCAUUGAGGGGAGUGAACCAUUUCCUGAGUGAAUCAGCAGAUGGAAGAUGUCUUUUUCCUUAUCUUUCCCUCUCUCUAUGUCACUCUACCUUUCAAAAAAACCUAAGGUAAAUCCUUAAAAAUUGUUUUCAGUUAAUUAAACCUCACUCAUGGUACAUUUUAUUUGAUAUUGUCAAUAGUAAGUGUUAUUACUAAACUUAUUUUCUCUCUCCCACAUCUGUACUUUAAAUUCUCUCAAUUUUCUGCUUUCAAAAAUCAUGCAUGGAUUCUAUAGAUUAGGAAUCUGAACUUGAAAAGAGAAUUGGCUUAGAAGACCAUGGAAGCGGCAAAUUGCAAUGAUUUUCAACUCAAGUCUUCAGGUGUCAAACCUUCUGCAAUUUUCCCCAAGUCAUUCUUCUUUUCUGAAUCUGUAAAUGUUUUAAGCAAAAAUAUGCCCAUUACAAACUGAUUUUAACCAGAGUUCUGGUUAAUCAGUGCAAAACUUUAAAAACAUGUGCGGCUACUAAGAUUUAUUUUCUACUCUGACAGUUAUUGCCAUAUGAAACAAAUGAUGUGCUUCACUCGUGUUUCUGUGUGCUGUGUGUAUGCAAGGGUAGGGAUGCUGGUAAAUAACAUUUAGGAACAAAUCAUGUCCCUUUUUGAGAGUGCCAGCUUACAUGUUAAGUACAAGAAAAAUAUACAAUCCCAGUUCAUUUCCCCCCUCAGUGUAAUGAAAUGCUAUCUUCUAUCUAGUAUAUAAUUCUAAAAACUUAUUAAAUAUUUCAAAAGUUAUGAGCCAUGAUAUAUGACAUAUGAAAAAAUCAAAGUAUAGGUUUGGAUGGAGUGCCUUGAUCCAAUACACAAUCAGUACCCUUGGAUUAUCUGCAAGGUGAAAUCUUCAGAUUCACAUAAACUUACUUACAUUCACAUAAACUUACUCAUAUGCCAUUUGGGAGAAAUUAGAAGUAGGUGUAGAAAUUUUUUUUUUUUGUAUCUAAUCUAAAAUUUGGCUUUUAAAAAAUAUAUCAGAUUUCAGUUAAAGCUACUGUCCUAGAAAAUUUAUUUAACAUAAUAUUCAGUUUAGUCUCUGAAAUGCAUACAUAAUAACAGAAUUAAAAUUCCUGUUUAAAAUUUUUAUUUAUUUGUUUAUUUGAAAGGUAAAGAGAAAGAGACUUACCAUUUGUUGAUACACUUACAAAUGCCUACAGUAGCCAUGGCUGGAUCAAACCAAAGCCUCAAGUUAGGAAUUUAAACUCCAUCUCCCAUGUAGGAGACAGGGCCCCAAGCACAUGGGGCUGCCUCCCAGCAUAGGAGUCAGAAGAAGCUGAAAUUGGAGGCAGCGCCAGGUCUUGAACUCAAGCCCUCCAAUAUGAAAUGUGGGUGUCCCAAGCAGCUUCUUAACUGCUUAACAAAAUACCCACUUCAUGGUAUUAUCAUUGCUAUUUCCCAUAAAUUGAUUUAGCAAAGAAAAAGGUUAUGUAUCCCAAAGUAUUAACCCUUAACGCAUGAUAGCUUGAUAGUACCCCAAGGACUACUAUUUAUAAUUAUUUAUGGUUAAUUUUAGGUCACUUGUAUCCAAAACUUGAUUGUAAGGUACUUCUAGGUAGGUAUAUAUCAUAUUUAUCUGUGUAUUUCAUAGUACAUUGUACAGCAAACUACUCGUGAUUGUCACAUGUCACAUACAUCACAUAUCACACUUUCACCAUAGGGUAUAUGCUAUGUGUACACAUUUCUAAAAGGGACUAUAGUAUCAAAUGGUAUUUAAAAGAUACUUUAUUUUUCAGUUUCCUAUUUCAGCAAGAUAGUCAAUUCCCCAUUCCCACUUUUCCACACACAUAAGCCAAUAUCCUAUACUCACUGCCUUUCAUAGCCUCUUUUGUUCAAGAAAUGCACUAGGAUCGGCGCCUCUGACCUCACCUUCUUCUUUCUCUUCUAGAAAGGCAUUUAUGCACCACAUGAAAACCUCUUCUGCUGUUAUUCAUAAUCAUUGCUACUGUAUCCAUUCUGCCUUCACCAGUCUUGUUACCAACCUUCUUUGCUUGUGUACUCUACACAGGCUAGGCCAGCAAUUCUUCACAUUUUACACUCAGAAAUUUGUUGAUGAUCAUUUCAUUCCUCUCAUAGGAUCUCACAUUCAGUAUGUUUUUUUUUUUUGAUAGGCAGAGUUAGAGAGAGAGAGAGAGAGAAUGGUCUUCUUUCCAUUGGUUCACCCCCUAGAUGGCUGCUAUGGCCGGCACACUGCACCUAUCUAAAGCCAGGAGCAAGGUACUUCCUCCUAGUCUCCCAUGUAGGUCCAGGGCCCAAGGACUUGGGCCAUCCUCCACUGCCUUCCCGGGCCACAGCAGAGAGCUGGACUGGAAGAGGAGCAACCAGGACAGAAUCCAGCACCCCAACCGGGACUAGAACCCGGGGUGCUGGCACCGCAGGCAGAGGAUUAGCCUAGUGAGCCACAGCGCUGGCCUCAGUAUGUUUUCUAAGUAAAUGUCACUUAAUGUUUUCUUCUCUCUCUCUCUCCUCCCUCCUGCACACAGCCUCUCCCUAUAUAAAGUAAUAGUAAGAAUGAUGAAGAAGACAAUGGAGAUAUGAUUUACACAGUUUGGGAAGAGGAAGCCUUUCUUUGUCAUUUGCAUGUUAUUUUGCUCAAACAUGUUUACAUCAGAGCUUCCCUGUUAUUUGAGGAAAUCAUUAUGUUGCACAACAAAUUGACUUUAUUAGAGAGCACUGAUUUUCUCUUUGGCUGAUUUUACUUUUUUGGAAAGCAAGUACUACUUACUCAAUGUGAACAGGAUUCUAUCUGUGAAGGGUAUUUAAGCAGUGUCCUACAAAUGGAACUUCUAUGAUUUUUGACUUCUCAUAUUGGAGAAGUCCUUUUAGAAAAGCAAUCAGAAAUGUGUUGCAGAAGAUUCACCCAAAGACUAUGAUCUUUCUUGCCAGUGCGACUGCAAUAGGGAAUGAUCACAAGGCAUUUCUUUCCAGCAGCAGAUGCAAGCAAACUGCUGUAUAAUACAUGAGCUGGAAACUCAGGUUGUCUCAGAUUUUAAGGUUAUUUUUAUAUCAUUACUUUUAUGUAUUGUUUAUUUUUAUAAUUUACAGUUUCUACUGUGAAGGCAAGUGAAAUAAAUAGGUAGAUUAUUGACUUUUAAUCAUCCAGAAAUAAAAAAAGAAAUACCUGAGCUAUUUGCUUCUCAAACCCUCCAAAUGAAGAAAAUUAUACAUCCUAGUAAAUAAUAAAGGCAUAAUAUUUUAAAGAAUGGGCUAAGGAAUGUUUUAGUAAAUUUUGUCUUGAUUAAAAUCAUUUAAGAGUACAAGUUAUAGUAUUUUGUAUGUUCUAACAUUUAGGCAUGAUGUGAUUCUUCUUAGUAAAUCCAUGUAUCUGUUUACUGGGACUCUUUAAAGGAGAAGAAACACACACACACAUCCUGACAUACAUGCUCUCACACUCAUACACACUCAUAUACACAGUCACCCAUACUUACACACUUACACACACACACCCUCACACACACACUCAUAUACAUGCUCACCCAUACUUACACAGUCACACACAUAUCACACACAUACUCUCACAGUCACACAUACACACUCACUCAUACACACACUCACCCAUGCACACACUCACUCAUACUUAGUCACUCACACACAAACAAUUAUACUAUCUGAUAUUAGUUAAUUGGGCAGACUAGGAUUAGUUAUAUUUCAUCAAACUUUCCAAAAAAACCUUUCAGAGGGAAAAAAUUCAUCUCUGGAUGCCACUGGGCCUUGGAAAUCAUAGCUACACCUUCUGUUUCAUUGUGGGCUGGCAGAAAAUAACAUACAGCUCCUUGUAGGAGCUCAGCUAUUUUUCACUGUGAAUUAGAACACACUUAUCCAUUGUGUGAAUUCUUUUUUUUUUUUUUUGACAGGCAGAGUGGACAGUGAGAGAGAGAGAGACAGAGAGAAAGGUCUUCCUUUGCUGUUGGUUCACCCUCCAAUGGCCACCAUGGCUGGCGUGCUGCGGCUGGUGCACCACGCUGAUCUGAUGGCAGGAGCCAGGUAUUUCUCCUGGUCUCCCACGGGGUGCAGGCCCCGCAAGGUGGAGGAUUAGCCUAGUGAGCCGCGGCACCGGCCCCAUUGUGUGAAUUCUAAACUUCUUACAUUUUAGACUGAGCUCCAUUUUAAGAACAAACUUUCCCUAUUUUUUUAAAAUGUUUUCUAAUUCUUCAUUGUAUUAAAUGUAUUAUUUCCAAAUACUAAGGCCCUAGGCUACAGUCCUCUCUUAAAAGUUAGAGUUUACAAUUAAUUAUUGAAUCCUACAAUAUGCGGGCAUUUAUCUAAAUUAUUUACUUAAUUUAACCAUCUUCACAUGAAUUCUGGGUUAAAGGUCAGGAAAUGAAGGAAGUAGGGUUGAAUAAGCAGGUGAGCGGCAGAGGUUGUGCUCUUAACAUCAGAUGAAUGUGGCUUCUUGGGUAACCAAGAGUCUGCUUGUGUGUCUUAGUUAUCAUAGCAAUACUUAAGUUAUCAUAAAAAUACUUAGUAUCAUAAUUAAAUAGAGGUAUUUUCUAAUUCUUCUAUUUUUAAUUUCAAAGAUUUAUUUAUUUAUUUGAAAGGCAGAGCUAUAUAGAGAGGGAGAGAAACUAGAAAAAUGAUCUUCCAUCCACAGGUUUAAUCCUUGAAUGGCCACAAUGGCCAGGGCUGAGCCAGGCUGAAUUAAGAAGCCCGAUCUCCAUCUGGGUCUCCCACAUGGCGGCAUGGACCCAAGUUCUUGGCUCUACUGCUUUCCAACAAGUUCCCUGCUAAUUCUAUUGGGAAAGUAGCAGAAGAAUGCAGAUGGAGUUCCUGGCUCUUGGCUUUGGUUGACCCAGCCCAAGACCUUUGUGGUCAUUUGGGGAGUGAACCAGUGGGUGGAGGAUCUCUCUCUCUGUCUCUCCUUCUCACUUUAUCACUUGCUCUGCCUUUCAAAUAAAUAAAUAAUGCUUAAAAAUGGAGAAUCAUUCUGUUCAUACUUAGACCUCAAGCCUGUGUGUUAAGAACUUACUAAAUUUCAUAUCUAAAAUUGUUUUCUAGAGAGGAUUUUGUCCAUCUUAUUAUAAUAUCAUAUGAUGAGUGGUUAUAUACAGUUCAUGUUUUGUAAGGAGAAAAAUUGACACAUCUCCAAUUAGGUCAUCAGUUGUUUGAAGGCAGAUUGGAAAACCAAGGAAUGUGUUGCGCAUGAUGGAGAUCCCAAGAAGGAAAUUACAAGUCUGAAGUCAACAGCAAACCCAGGAAGGAAAGGACAGCAUUUACCAAGAGCAAAUCCAAGGACUAGAAGCAGAAUUUGCCCAUCACAACUAUGUGACUAGACUGAGGAGAUACAAGAUAGCAGAGAAUCUGGAUCUCACCAAAAGACAGGUGAAAGUGUGGUUCCAGAACAGGUGGAUGAAGAGGAAGAGGGUAAAAUUGGGCCAGCUGGGCACUGCUGCCUGAGAAAAGGAACUGGUGAACGUGAAGAAAGGAACCCUGCUCCCUUCAGAGCUGUCAGGGAUUGGUGCGGCCACGCUCCAGCAAACAGGGGACUCUCUGGACAAUGAAGACAGCCACAACAGCUACCACAGCUCCGAGCAUGCACACUUAUGAUCCACACAGACAGGACCAGAUCCAUCCUCAGGAAAGAAGCACCGUGAUGGCAAGCCUUACCCAACAGAGUUUACACAGAGAGAUGGCCAUGGCCAUGAUUUUUAAUAUUAUCAAAUUCAGGCAUCAUGGGUCUGUUUUGCAUGAUUUAUAGAGGAAGGAAGUGCCACUUAUCAAAGAUGUUUCCAUGAUGAAAAUCAGAAGGUGAAUUUGCUUUGAAUAGUCCAGAGAUGUUUGGUUGUGUGUAUGACAGUGAGCAGGUAUGUUUGCCUUUGCUUGCACUGAAAAAUUAAACAGGUACUAAGAACAAAUUAUGACACAUUUCUACACGAGAUGCCUCCAGAGUGAAAACGUUGAAGAUGAACUUACUUUACCCUCUCAGAUGUACGAGUUCAUGUUUAUGACAGUGGGCAGGUAUUUGCUUUUGCUUGUACUGAGAAAUUGCUAUCAAGAAUAAAACAUAAAACCUUUUAUCCUGAACAGCCAAAGUGCCUGAGAUCAUUCAAGUAGAUUUUAAAAAGGAUGUAGUUUAACUCUGUAUAUAUUAUUCUUAAGUCAUUUUCCUGUCUUCACUAAUUUUAGCAAUUCAUUCAUAUUAGCUGAUGAAAAUAGGCACUGAUAAUGCCAGCCAGGCCAGCUUCCUGCCUUUUUAUGCAUGUGUCAUUCUGAGACAAUCCGUAUGCACUUACUUGUGUACAAGUAGAGAAAAAUACAGUAGUCUAAUACGACAUAUUCUUGUACCACAGACAAAACAAAUGUUAUGUUGCAUUUACUAUCACUGCUGCUAAUACGUUAUUAUACAACUUACCUAGCUCCUCCUUGAUUUAUCCUAUCUUGUAGCUUGAAAAAAAAAUAGGAUCAUAGGAAAAUCAGUUACCUUGUGGAAGGAGCUUUGUUGUGGCAGACACUGUGAUUUUAUUUCUAUAAAAUUAAAGCUGUUAUGAAUAUGACUUAAUUA